rnacentral:lncRNA from 1 species
UAGACGCUGUGAUGGGCAAGGAAUAGUCAGCUAUAAGGGAGCUAAAAAUGGCCCAAGAUAAUUAAUAUCCAGGUUCUGACCUGCAACAUUCCAAUCACUCCACAGUUACUGGCAUUCUAAUAGAUCUGCUGUCAGGUGCAGCAUCUUUCCAGAAACUACAGUUCACACUGAGCAUCUUUAGGAAGCAUCCAGGAACACUGACAAAUUUGGUGGCCCCACUGUGCCCCCCCACCACCACCACCAAUGACAACGGUAGAGCUCAAUCCAGGGGGCUGUAUCGGCUCCCGGGACCUUUCGACAAGCAGGGAUUUAAAAGAUCACAUGUCAGAGUCCACUCACCUGUGUAUGGUCCUUGCCCGGCCACCAUAGUCGGAUUAUCCGUGGGCGGGGUGAGAUGGACGGAGCGCCUUGCAGACCUCAGGAAAACCUCCCCACACCCGUCCGGCCUUGGCUUGGUGACACGGAAACUGGCUGGACUCGAGACCGCGGGACCUUCCAUGGAGAUGGUAAACCACUAACUACCCUUGGCUGCUGCAGACUAAAGGACGAGGGCUUAGAGAUCGCGGCCCGCCGGAGGAACACACCACACAGACACUGCCUACGAAGCUCGUCUUCUAAGACAACAGAAAAUGUAGCUUAAUAUUCUUCAUGAGGAAGACGUUGGAAGCCUCAUCUCAACAUAUUUGUUCCAUCACCCUUACUGACCUAGGGCUUGUGUGGCAAGAACAGCCUCGACAGAUGCACAGACUCCUGAUCUGUGAAGGCUAGGUGGUAAAGGGUAGGUGGUGGAGAGGCCUUCCCAGUUUAUCCUCUCACUAGCUUCCCUCUUCUUUCUGAGAUAUAUAAACUCUAUAUUCUCAACUUCCAGCCAGGCAUGGCGGUACUUGCCUAUGAUUUCAGUACUUGUGAAGUGGAGAUCGAAAGAUCAGGAGUUUGAGGUCAUCCCAGCCCUAUAGUAAGUAUGAGGCCAGCCUGAAAUACAUGUGACCUUGUCUCAAAAAAGACCAAAACCAACAAUAAAAAAACUUCCCUGAAAUGACUUUCUUUAGUU